GGGGGUGUAGAUUUAGGAGAGGGAAAAGAAAGGAAACUACAACUGCAAAAGAGAAAGACGAAGUGAGAGAGCGUCAUACACAGCACGUGAGACGGGGAUGGUGGUUGUGCCGGCCAUCGCUGUCCAUUCCGUCGACGGAACCAGACGUCUUCUAUUCCCAUAAGCACAGAUGGAAAUUAGGGGAAACAAGUCGCUAGGGUUUGACAGCCAUUUUUCCGAAGACCCUAGCGACGGUGGUGCUCUGACAGAAUACGAACUAGGGUUUCGUCGUCAACCCUCGGCGACAGCGAUGGUGUUUCAAGUUGUUCGUAUUUCAGCUUUCUCCCCCCCUUUCAUUUUAUAUGACGACUGUGUUUGAUUCUUCCUGUUUUGGGUUACAUUGGACGUACUAUUGGACAAGAUGAAUUACAUGUGUCCAUAUGCCUGUUGGAAAAGGCUUCACAGCGCUGGAGAUAUUACUAAAAGAUCAAGCUGGAAAGUAUGCAUCUGGGAAUGAAAUUUUCCUUGGUACCGGUUCUUUCUUUUUUACAUAUACCCUAGCAUCUCACCAACUAAGCUAAUCACUUAAAAGUAGUCACGCAUAGAGCACAUGACCACUGAGCAACUUAGCGGUUGAGGAGCUGAUGAAGUUUCAUGUACUGUAUAUCGUGGCACUAGCUUUGGUGUUCCCGAUAACCAAGACUAGCUCAACAGCACUUUGGGACUUCACCCAAUUCAGGUUUCUUUGUAGGUUGCGCUUUCGGAGCUUGAUGGGGGCAUGGAGCCUAUUGUUUUCUUUCACGAUUUGAUCCAAGAAUAGAAGUACAUGUUGCAAUACAACUAGUUAACGUGAAGAUAAAGUCACUUCAAUGCAUUGAGCAUGAGUACAUGAUAUGGAUCUGGCCUGGAAACGAGCCUUCUUCACUCAUUGUUUCUUCACUUAAACCACCCCAAGAUUCUAGAUAUACACUAAGGUCUAUGUUUUUUUAGGGAUUGUGCAACUUAGAAAGUAGAGAUGGCAGCUUGACACAUUUUAUUGUUAAUGGGUCAAUUUUUGGUUGGUAAAAUAGGGUGUGGGUCAAAUGUUUUGAAACUUGAAAGUCGCCUAAAGUCCACUUUAAUUGCCUACAACCUCCUAAACUGUAUUAUUGAAAUAUUUAUAUUGAUGGUUUACUAAAACUUGACAAAAGUGUGUUUGCAUAUUGACCUACUUGACCUAACCUAUUUUAAGCUGACCUAAAAAAUUAUAUGUUUGAACAUGAACCUGUUGUGACAUGUUUACCAACCUGACCAUGUUACCUACCUCUAUCAUAAGCUAUAUAUUCAUGUUAAUGAAAUAUUAACAUUCAACUUUUCUAACACAAUUGACGUAUAAUUUAAUGUUUAUGGUGCUUAUUACUAAGGACAAAUUGUCUUGGAGCUAUCAGUGGAGCAUGGAAUGCUUCUUGACAACCUUCUGGGUCUUGUACAUGCGCCUUUCACUCACACUUCCACAUUUGGAAAGGGUUAGAGUAUUCCAGGGUCUGUUUCCCACCUUCACAUUUAUACCCUCAUAUCUCACCAAACCACCACCAUCGUUCGCUGCCAAUCAACAUCAGUGGAGAAACCGUGACAACUAGAUGAGCGGUUGCUUCAUGCUUCUUGACAACCUUCAGGGUCUUGUACAUGCGCCUUUCACUCACACUUCCACAUUUGGAAAGGGUUAGAGUGUUCCAGGGUCUGCUUCCCACCUUCACAUUUAUACCCUCAUAUCUCACCAAACCACCAAUCUUUCGCCGCCAAGCCACACUAGUGGAGAAACCGUGACAACUAUAUGAGCAGUUGCUUCAUAUCAAGCUGCAGACAUGAUGAUACCUUUUAGGGUUCACGUGUUCAUCUCCACACAAGGAUUCGGUGAAUUUUUGGUCAAGCUUUUUUAACUAGAAUUCCGAUCAUGUCGCCACCAAGUUACCAAUGCUAGAGUGCCUGGUUUGGUAGAAAUUGUUCCUGCGAUACUCGCAGUCCGAUCGGUUGUCGUGGGAAAGGAUUGCUUUUCAUUUCAGCUGAUGAAGAGGUAGAUUUAUGAUGAGAUGAAGAGACAGGAAGAGACAAACCGUGAAGCAUAUUGUGGACCUCAUCCAGUUAACACAGUUUAUGUCUUUAUGUUUGCUUAUUCACUGUUAACAAUCACCUAACGAUUACAAAAACUGAUACUUUUUAAAGUCAUUUAUUGGGUAUUUGAUGUUAA